rnacentral:misc_RNA from 1 species
GAUGAAGAACGUAGCGAAAUGCGAUAAGUAGUGUGAAUUGCAGAAUUCAGUGAAUCAUCGAAUCUUUGAACGCACAUUGCGCCCCCUGGUAUUCCGGGGGGCAUGCCUGUUCGAGCGUCAUUACAACCCUCAAGCUCUGCUUGGUAUUGGGCCCCGCCAGUUCUGGCGGGCCCUAAAGUCAGUGGCGGUGCCUUCCGGCUCCGAGCGUAGUAAUUCUUCUCGCUCUGGAGACCCGGUUGUGUGCUUGCCAACAACCCCCAAUUUUUUAAGGUUGACCUCGGAUCAGGUAGGGAUACCCGCUGAAAUUAAGCAUAUCAAUAGCGGAGGA